GCAGAACGCGAAGAACCUUACCAGGGCUUGAAUGCAUUAUGACAGGGGUGGAGACACCUUUUCCUUCGGGCAUUUUGCAAGGUGCUGCAUGGUUGUCGUCAGCUCGUGCCGUGAGGUGUCAGGUUAAGUCCUAUAACGAGCGCAACCCCUACCGUUAGUUGCCAGCGGGUCAUGCCGGGGACUCUAGCGGGACUGCCGGUGCAAACCGUGAGGAAGGUGGGGAUGACGUCAAAUCAUCACGGCCCUUACGUCCUGGGCCACACACGUGCUACAAUGGCCGGUACAGAGAGCGGCCACGCCGCAAGGCGGAGCGAAUCUACAAAAACCGGUCACAGUUCGGAUCGGGGUCUGCAACCCGACCCCGUGAAGCUGGAAUCGCUAGUAAUCGGAUAUCAGCCAUGAUCCGGUGAAUACGUUUCCGGG
rnacentral:rRNA from 1 species